AGUCACGAGUUUGAUCCUGGCUCAGAUUGAACGCUGGCGGAAUGCUUACACAUGCAAGUCGAACGGUAGAGGGGGCAACCCCUUGAGAGUGGCGAACGGGUGAGUAAUAUAUCGGAACGUGCCCAGUCGUGGGGGAUAACGUAGCGAAAGUUACGCUAAUACCGCAUACGGUCUACGGAUGAAAGCGGGGGACUCGCAAGAGCCUCGCGCGAUUGGAGCGGCCGAUAUCAGAUUAGGUAGUUGGUGGGGUAAAGGCUCACCAAGCCAACGAUCUGUAGCUGGUCUGAGAGGACGACCAGCCACACUGGAACUGAGACACGGUCCAGACUCCUACGGGAGGCAGCAGUGGGGAAUUUUGGACAAUGGACGCAAGUCUGAUCCAGCCAUUCCGCGUGCAGGAUGAAGGCCCUCGGGUUGUAAACUGCUUUGUACGGAACGAAAAGGUUUCUAUUAAUACUAGGAGCUCAUGACGGUACCGUAAGAAUAAGCACCGGCUAACUACGUG
rnacentral:rRNA from 1 species